rnacentral:rRNA from 1 species
GCCAGCCGCCGCGGUAAUACCGGCGGCUCGAGUGGUGGCCACUUUUAUUGGGCUUAAAGCGUUCGUAGCUGGGUUGUUAAGUCUCUUGGGAAAUCUGACGGCUCAACCGUCAGGCGUCCAAGGGAUACUGGCAAUCUUGGAACCGGGAGAGGUGAGGGGUACUUCGGGGGUAGGAGU